UACAGAGGUGGCAAGCGUUGUUCGGAAUUACUGGGCGUAAAGCGCACGUAGGCGGCGCAGCAAGUCAGGGGUGAAAUCCCGGGGCUCAACCCCGGAACUGCCCUUGAAACUGCAGUGCUAGAAUCUUGGAGAGGCGAGUGGAAUUCCGAGUGUAGAGGUGAAAUUCGUAGAUAUUCGGAAGAACACCAGUGGCGAAGGCGACUCGCUGGACAAGUAUUGACGCUGAGGUGCGAAAGCGUGGGGAGCAAACAGG
rnacentral:rRNA from 1 species